rnacentral:lncRNA from 10 species
CCACUAUGUACCUACAAAAAUAAAAUAAAAUAAAAUAAAAACUAAUGAGCAUAAUUGGAUUGUUGGUAACACAAAGGAUAAAUGCUUGAGGCGAUGGAUACCCCCAUUUACCGUGAUGUGAUUAUUAAACAUUACAUGCCUGUCUUAAAAUAUCUCAUGUAACCCAUAAACAUAUACAUCUACUAUGUACCCACAGAAAUUAAAAAUUAAUUUAAAAAAAAAGAAAAGAAAGGGAAAUGGGCUGCGACAGAUGUGCCCUCUUGGAAAACUAAAACUUAGAGCUCUUUGUCCUUCUGGGGUAGCACGUGUAUUCUACAGAUCUUGUCCAGAGGGAGACAUUUUUCUCAUUUCUCCCCCCUCUAGAUUAUAAAUCUCCCCGCAGGGCAAUGGCAAUUCUAAUUCUGCCUUUUAGUUUCUAUAUUAAGGAAAAUAGUUUAGAGUGGUUGGUCGGUCACAUAGACAGCUGUAGAACUAGUUUCUCAAGUUUAAAAUACCAAUAACUCUGAAACCUGAGAUCUGCAGCCCUGGGAGCCACCAAGGUGCACUCAGUGGCCUUCUAGGCUUCGGUUCCUGCUCCGCGCCCCGCAGAAACCGCGGCUGGCUGGCCAGGGGCUCUUCCAACUUCCAGCGGGAGCAGGUGCACAGCAAAACAAAGAAUAAAGAUUAUGAAGAAAGAGAAGAACUUCCCAGGCCCAAGCAGCUGUCGGCUCCUGCGCUCCCAACGGGGUGGCCGUUUCCUUCCUCGCACCCUCUUCUCUCCCGGUGCCUGCGGUCCCACCUUCCAGAUACCCCUCGGAGAGUCCAGCUGAGCUCUCGCCAGAGCUUUCCCCUUCCAACCCGCUCGACUUGCCCAGAUCCCAAGCUGGGCUUCUCUCUCCAUCGCCCCAGAAAGUGGGUCUUGGAGACCGAGGCAAGAAUUUGGGCCUCCGCUUCUGUUCCAGACCCCGGACCCCUUGCCAAAAUGCGGCAGAUGUGCAGAUUGGGCCGCGCUUGGUUCCUGGCUGGGUUUAUGGAGCCUGCGGCUGAGGCAGGCUCCGCAGACCCCGAGCCAGAGUGGGAUUUAACGGCGGCCGGUGCGCUGUGCUUGGUCAACCCCGGUAACCGUCACGCUGCUAGUGAUAUGAAAAAAACCUGCCAGCGUUCUGCUUUUCUGCCCCGCUGCAGUCUUUAGCACCCGCCAGGAUUCUGUCCGAGUGUUUGGAUUUUGUAAUCCUCCUGUCUUUGGCCAACUCCCCAUCCUUGGCGGAGCGCUCGCCCUUGGCCGGGCUCCGUGCUGCCAGCCUUGCGGAACCCUAGGCCCGGGCGGCUCUGUCGGAGGCCCACUUCUCACUGAUGCGGAGUGGCCCGAGGGUGGGAGCAGCGGUUAAUGCCGCACUGAUUAAUACAGGCUCCAGUGAAAGCGAAAGUAAGAAAAUAAAACGGAUUUCAUUAUACAUAUACAAUGUGUGUAUGGAUACAUGUACAUACAUAUUACACUUAUGUGUAUGUUACGCACGUUUGUUAAAAUGAGGUCAUAAUGUUCAUGCUGUUUCAUAACCCACUUUCUUUCAAUGACCACCUUUUCAUUUCAGUAAAUCUUCGUAUUCUCAUGUUGCAGCUUCUCCAUUUUUCUUUAACAUGUUUACAGAGAGUCUGUGCAAACCUGUACCAAAUCCAGAACCAUGCAUCUAUAACGUGCUAAAAGAUUGUCAACCUAGAAUCCUAUAACAACCACAAAAAAGGCCUACCUAAAUGGAGGCAAAGUAAUGACUUCAGACAAAAAAAAAAAAAAAGGAAAUCUGAAAAUCUGAGGGAAUUUGUCACCAGCCGAUCUUUCUUAUGAAAAAAUAUUAAAGGAAGUUCUUUAGCUGGAAGGAAAAUGAUACCUGAAUGAAACUCAGAUCUACAAAAAAGAAUGAAGAGCACAGAAGAUAGUAAAUAUGCAGAUAAAUAUAAAAAAUCUCUUUUUUACUGUUAAAAUUAUUCUUUUUUUACAAUAUAACAAAAUGUAUUUUCAUUGGAUAUUAAUUAUGAACCCACAAUGCAUGUAAACUAAAUACAAUACUUCAAAUCAUUCUGCACAAAGAAAUUACAGAUCACAUUUAUUUAAUAACAAAAUGUCUAAUUGUUUAAUAAAAUGUUUUUAGGAACUUACAAUAUAAUUUUCAAAAACAAAGAAUAAAAAUAUUAAAUAUAUCACUUUAUGGCAGAGGACAACAUAAAUUUAUUUCUGCAACACAGCAGGCAAACUUUUGUGCUAGAAACAGUGGAGAAAAAAUUUAAAGCAAAAAGUCAGGAAAUGGAUGUUCACAAAUUUCUGGUUAACUGAGG